UACGAAGGGGGGCUAGCGUUACUCGGAUUGACUGGGCGUAAAGGGCGCGUAGGCGGUUCGUACAGUCAGACGUGAAAUUCCUGGGCUCAACCUGGGGGGCUGCGUUUGAUACGUGCGGGCUUGAGUUCGGAAGAGGGUCGUGGAAUUCCCAGUGUAGAGGUGAAAUUCGUAGAUAUUGGGAAGAACACCGGUGGGCGAAGGCGGCGACCUGGGUCCGAGACUGACGCUGAGGCACGAAAGCGUGGGGAGCAAACAGG
rnacentral:rRNA from 1 species